GCUAAUUUUGUAUUUUUAUUCAUUCAAUUGAUAAUUGAGUGAUAUGUAAAAUAGCAAAUAUUUAUUGAGCUUCGCAUUUUACUAGACAGUGUUCUAAAUUCCUCCUAUGUUCAUUUUGUUUAAUCUUCCGUCCCUCCCUAUGCGGUAGGUAUUUACAUCUCAUUUUGCUGAUGAAGGAAUGGAAGCUUAGAGAGAGUAACUUGCCUCAGGUGCCACAGCUAGUGGAUGUCACAGUGUUAAGUAGAGCAGUGAUUCAAAGUGUAGGAUCUAGUAUCUGCUCUGAUUUAUGCAAUCCAACAGAACAAAUAGUUGACAGUCCUGGGAGUCACUGAGGAAAAGUUAUUUGAGUGGGAAAAAAAUAUCUUGUUGAAAUUGAAGACAUUUUCAUGGUUGCUUGCUAACCAACUGACCACAUGCUAACCAACUAUACCAACCUUUCAGCAUGCAUUCUCAAGUGGGAACAGUCUUGACUACAGUUCGGUAGUAAUUUGCACAGUAUUUGAGGGUUUAAAAAAGAGCAGUAGGCCAGACCCAGUGGCUCACACCUGAAGUCCCAGCCCUUUGAGAGGCUAAGGCAGUUGAAUCACUUGAGCCCAGGAGUUUGAGACCAGCCUGGGCAGCAUGGUGAAAACUUGUCUCUGCAAAACAUGCAAAAAUUAGCCAGCCUGUACAACAAAGCAAGAUCCUAUCUCAGGGGAAAAAAAAAAAAAAAAAAAGGGAGCAGCAUAGCUUUCCAGUUGUACUUGGGUUAUUAUUCAAUUCCAAAUCAUAUGCUAUUCACGAACUGUUCAAAAUAAAUAUAUGGAUUAUAUAUUAUCUAAGGACAUGUUCAUUAGGAUAUCUGUCUUCAGUCCUGAUUCAGGACUAAAGGUGAGACUUCAUCUUCUGAAAAAAAAUUGGUAUUAAUGUUUUGUUUCUUUUUUUGAGAAGGUGAAUUUAUUCUUUUUUACAGCUCAUGUGAAAUACAUCAAGUGCUUUUGGGAUCUCUGAUAUGAAGGAUUCUGUUAAAAUAUCAGGUUAUCAUUUUAUCCUGCCUUAUGAGUUUUCUAUUGCUAUGUAAUAAAUUACUACAAUCUUAGCCUAAAACCACACCCAUGUAUCAUCUCACAGUUCUCUAGUAGUUUUGUAGUUCCAUAGGUCAGAACACCUAGUAGGCUGGACUGGGUUCUCUGCUUAGGGUCUCAUAAGGCCAAGAUCAACAUGUUGACCAUGCUGGUAUCUCAUCUGGAGGCUCCUGGGAAGAAUCAACUUUCAGGUUCAUUCAGGUUGUUAGCAGAAUUCAGAUCCUUGGGUCUGUAGGUCUGAAGGCGCCGUUUCCUCGAUACAUGGCUGCCCUGGCUUCAUCAAGUCCUUCUUAUGUGUAAGAUCUGACUUCUGCCACCCGCCAAAGACUUAGCUUUAUAAACAGCUCAUGUGUAGAUUAUGCUCACUGGGAUAAUCUCUCUUAAAGUCAGCUGUACCAUGUGGCGUAAUAUUAUUCAUAGGGACUGAUACAUUAUCACAGCCACAGGUUCUACCUACAGCCCUUAUACCAGGGUAAAAGGUCAUCAGGGGGUCAGUCUGAGGAUUCGAUCACAGCUAUUAAUUUUCAUUGUUAAAUAUUGUUGUGAAGGUCACAUUUUUGGUACAAUAGGCAACUUUUCUUCUCUCAGGUCUCAUUCUGUCCUUCUUACCCCCCUUCCUUGAACAUAAUUGUUUCUUCCUUUAAAACAGUCAGCCUCUUUUUCCUCUUUGUUUGGUAGCACACUUGUCCUUAAUGUCACCCAUGGCUCUUCAAGGAAACUGAAUUUACCUUUUAGGAUAGCAUUCCCUGAAAUCACCUUUGUGUUUAUCAGUUAUAUAAGAAAUAUUGUUUGACUGCAGACAUUAUCACUAUCAUCCCUGUGCUUCAGUUCCCUAAGCCUGAGUAUUUAAUGUAGGAUUUAGCUGCUCACAGACAUGGACAAGGUAUUCUUCAUCUGUGUGAUCUGCAGAUAAGCUGCACCUUAUUUUUUCAUUCUUUCCUCUCUUGCAUUAAGAUCCGAAGAUGUCUCCCUGCCUACAAGUUCAAGAAGUAUAUUACAACCCUGUAUAUCUCUCAUCAUUCUUUAGCCUAGUAAUGCUGCUGUAAUUCCACUUUAUCUCACAGCAGGGUCCAGCAGAAAGCACAUCAGUAAUGAAAAACAGUAAUUCAAAACCAUGUGCAGUGGAACGUUUGAAGGCUUAUAGAUCCAUCUGAAGCAACGGGAUUUCUCAGGCUGCCUAGAGAACCUGAAUAGGUUAUAGUUGCAGAAACUACAUAAUUCUGCUCAUAGUGUAGCGUGAGGGCUUAUACCGGGCAGAAUGGGUAAUGUGUCUGCAUUUCCCCAAGUCCCUCAGGCAGGUUUUUUUUUCCAGUUAGUGUUAGUCACUGAAGAAGAAAAUGUUUAUAUAAAAGCUUUAGUGUAUAAUUUAGGAUUUUUCACAUAUAAGGGGAAUUGCAGGAUUUUUAGUUUUGUCUUUUGAACUAAUUUAGAACAAAGAUGGGAUAGUUGUCUUUGGUUGUAAGGAAAAUUGUAAAACCCCCUGAGGUCUGAUGUUGGGUAGGAAAAUAAGAAAAGGAAAUACUUACAAGAUUCAUGUAUUGUCUCAUUUCAGUUGAGAUGGUAGUUUUGAGCAAGUGUUUGUGUCUGAUUGAUUCAUGCGCUAUUUAUUAAAUGUCUACUUCAUACCAGGUAGACAUAAUAUACAGGACAUAUGUAUUAUGUACCAACAAUGGACUGUGCUCUUAAGGAUCCCAUACUCUAGGGGGUGAGAAAUAGACUUCUUCCAGAAAUAGUGUUGUGAGAUAAGUGCUACUAGAUAAGUGAGUGGGUACCCAGAGGUGAAAUUCUAUAGUGGUUGGAGAAGGCUUGAUAAGGGAGCUGACAAUUGAACAGUCUUGAAGAGACAGGAGUUUGUGCCAGGCAGGCAAGUGGGGGCAGGGAGCAUUCGGGGCAGAGGAAAUGUCAUUUGUGAGGAGAGUGAGGAAUUUGUUAAGGCUGGUGCCU